rnacentral:misc_RNA from 1 species
GAUGAAGAACGUAGCGAAAUGCGAUAAGUAAUGUGAAUUGCAGAAUUCAGUGAAUCAUCGAAUCUUUGAACGCACAUUGCGCCGCCAGCAUUCUGGCGGGCAUGCCUGUUCGAGCGUCAUUUCAACCCUCGAGCCCCCCCGGGGGCCUCGGUGUUGGGGGACGGCACACCAGCCGCCCCCGAAAUGCAGUGGCGACCCCGCCGCAGCCUCCCCUGCGUAGUAGCACACACCUCGCACCGGAGCGCGGAGGCGGUCACGCCGUAAAACGCCCAACUUUCUUAGAGUUGACCUCGGAUCAGGUAGGAAUACCCGCUGAACUUAAGCAUAUCAAUAAGCGGAGGA